rnacentral:rRNA from 1 species
GACGAACGCUGGCGGCGUGCUUAACACAUGCAAGUCGAACGGUAAGGCCCUUCGGGGUACACGAGUGGCGAACGGGUGAGUAACACGUGGGUGAUCUGCCCUGCACUUCGGGAUAAGCCUGGGAAACUGGGUCUAAUACCGGAUAGGACUCCUGGAUUCAUGGUGGGGGGUGGAAAGAUUUUGCGGUGUGGGAUGGGCCCGCGGCCUAUCAGCUUGUUGGUGGGGUAAUGGCCUACCAAGGCAACGACGGGUAGCCGGCCUGAGAGGGUGACCGGUCACACUGGGACUGAGAUACGGCCCAGACUCCUACGGGAGGCAGCAGUGGGGAAUAUUGCACAAUGGGCGCAAGCCUGAUGCAGCGACGCCGCGUGAGGGAUGACGGCCUUCGGGUUGUAAACCUCUUUCAGCUAUGACGAAGCGCAAGUGACGGUAGUAGCAGAAGAAGGACCGGCCAACUACGUGCCAGCCGCCGCGGUAA